UGGUGGACCAGAGAAAGACAUGAGCAGGAGUGUGUAGGUGAUUGUGCCCUAGAUAUGUGGAAAGGCACUGGUGUGGGGACAGGAAGGUGUGGGGGCUGGAGGCACGGAGUGAGGAUGUUCAACAGCAUGAAGUGUAGAGAAUCAACAGCCUUCACAUCCAGACUUCACGAAAUUUAAGGAAUGAUCUUGUCUGGUCACAUUCCAGAAGCAGGAGGAAAAAAAAAUAGCAUUUCUGAAGCCAAUGAGUGCCAGUCACUUGAAGAUGGUAAUCUGAACAGGAAGAGCACUGUGACUUACUACUGUCCUUCAGAGAAAAAGGAAGAGGUGCACGUCACAGACGGGAAGUCAGUGAACCAGAGGCAAAGUGAAGUUUAUAGCAUGAACGACUUGUUUUUUUGGUACAAUCCUGUACAUUAAUUGUUACCAGCACGUAUCUCGGAGCUCCUGUCCACACAAUAGUCAUUACUAACACCUGAGUUGAUCUGCACAAGGGCACGGAUUACACGGAAAAAGACAAGUGUUCCCACAUUUUCUAUUACCUGGAGAAGAUUCUUCCUUAAAUGUUAGAAGAAUUGGCCUUCAGAUGCAUCCCUUACAUUAAGU
rnacentral:lncRNA from 10 species